rnacentral:rRNA from 1 species
CACGUAGGGGACGAGCGUUGUCCGGAUUCAUUGGGCGUAAAGCGCGCGUAGGCGGCUCGGAAAGUCGGUCGUGAAAUGCCGGGGCUCAACCCCGGGACUGCGUCCGAUACUCCCGAGCUGGAGGCAGGUAGGGGAGAUCGGAAUUCCUGGUGUAGCGGUGAAAUGCGCAGAUAUCAGGAGGAACACCGGUGGCGAAGGCGGAUCUCUGGGCCUUGCCUGACGCUGAGGCGCGAAAGCGUGGGGAGCGAACAGG